CAGCACCUCAAGUGGUCAGGAUGAUUAUUGGGCCUAAAGCAUCCGUAGCCUGCUUUGUUAGUUUUCGGUUAAAUCCAUAUGCUCAACGUAUGGGCUGCCGGGAAUACUACAAAGCUAGGGAGUGGGAGAGGUAGACGGUACUCGGUAGGAAGGGGUAAAAUCCUUUGAUCUAUUGAUGACCACCUGUGGCGAAGGCGGUCUACCAGAACACGUCCGACGGUGAGGGAUGAAAGCUGGGAGCAAACCGGAUUAGAUACCCGAGUAGUCC
rnacentral:rRNA from 1 species